GCCUCGGUAGCUCAGUCGGUAGAGUGUGAGACUCUUAACCUUAGGGUUGUGGGUUCAAGCCCUACAUUAGACA